rnacentral:rRNA from 1 species
CCUACGGUGUGCAGCAGUGGGGAAUAUUGGACAAUGGGCGAAAGCCUGAUCCAGCCAUGCCGCGUGUGUGAAGAAGGCCUUCGGGUUGUAAAGCACUUUCAGUGGGGAAGAAAGCCUUGGGGCUAAUACCCUCGAGGAAGGACAUCACCCACAGAAGAAGCACCGGCUAACUCCGUGCCAGCAGCCGCGGUAAUACGGAGGGUGCGAGCGUUAAUCGGAAUUACUGGGCGUAAAGCGCGCGUAGGCGGUCUGAUAAGCCGGUUGUGAAAGCCCCGGGCUCAACCUGGGAACGGCAUCCGGAACUGUCAGGCUAGAGUGCAGGAGAGGAAGGGAGAAUUCCCGGUGUAGCGGUGAAAUGCGUAGAGAUCGGGAGGAAUACCAGUGGCGAAGGCGGCCUUCUGGACUGACACUGACGCUGAGGUGCGAAAGCGUGGGUAGCAAACAGGAUUAGAUACCCCAGUAGUC